UGACCACUUUCUUUUGGAAGUCAAGGCCAUACGGACAGCCGGGUCAAAUGCCGA
rnacentral:sRNA from 16 species